CAUUUAUGCAGUCUGCUAAUGUACUCUUUCAAAAUUUCAGAAACUUCAUCAAACGAUUAACUAGUAAAUCCUCAUCUGAUUGGAACAGUAAAAUUGUGCAGCAUCCCAGACAAAGUGAUGGCCACAACUGCGGACCACUCAUCUGAAAGUUUGCAGAAACGUAUUUGCAGCACAAAGACAUCAGUACGGUGGAAACAACACAGAAGGCUAAUACAGCAUUUAGAAGACAUAUAGCAAUUCUUCUAAUGAAGGAGUCAGAAAGCGUAGAGGACUACUGCAUAUACUGCAACCUUAUCGACUGUGAAAAAGAAAGUGAGGAUUGCACGAUGGUCCAGUGUGAUUCUUGCAAGAGGUGGGCACAUAUACCAUGCAUUACAGAAGGAACCAAUCAAGAAAACCUGACAUAUGAGAAGAAAGAGUACAACUGCAAGACAUGUACAUAGUUCACUUCACUACCAAAAAAAAAGAGGCAAUAAAGAAAACCCAUUGCUUAAAUGCCUCUUGUUCAAAACAUAA